rnacentral:rRNA from 1 species
ACUGUUGUAAGGGAAGAACGUUAUUAGUAGGAAAUGGCUAAUAAGUGACGGUACCUUACCAGAAAGGGACGGCUAACUACGUGCCAGCAGCCGCGGUAAUACGUAGGUCCCGAGCGUUAUCCGGAAUUAUUGGGCGUAAAGGGCACGUAGGCGGACAAAUAAGUUUGAUGUCAAAUAUGAUGGCUCAACCAUCAAGAGGCGUUGAAAACUGUUUAUCUAGAAUCUCGGAGAGGUAAGUGGAAUUCCAUGUGUAGCGGUGGAAUGCGUAGAUAUAUGGAGGAACACCAAUGGCGAAGGCAGCUUACUGGACGAAGAUUGACGCUGAGGUGCGAAAGCGUGGGUAGCAAACAGGAUUAGAUACCCUGGUAG